rnacentral:rRNA from 1 species
AGAGUUUGAUCAUGGCUCAGGACGAACGCUGGCGGCGUGCCUAACACAUGCAAGUCGAGCGGGGAUGAGCUGGUCAGCUUGCUGAUUGGCUUAUCCUAGCGGCGGACGGGUGAGUAACGCGUGAGCAACCAACCUUGUACUGGGGGAUAACAGCUGGAAACAGCUGCUAAUACCGCAUAAGACUACGGCACCGCACGGUGCUGUAGUAAAAGGUGCCGGAAGGCGCCGGUACAAGACGGGCUCGCGUCCCAUUAGCUAGUUGGUGGGGUAACGGCCUACCAAGGCGACGAUGGGUAGCCGGCCUGAGAGGGUGUACGGCCACACUGGGACUGAGACACGGCCCAGACUCCUACGGGAGGCAGCAGUGGGGGAUAUUGCGCAAUGGGGGAAACCCUGACGCAGCGACGCCGCGUGAGCGAGGAAGGCCUUCGGGUCGUAAAGCUCUGUCCCUGGGGACGAAUUAAGUGACGGUACCUGGGGAGGAAGCCCCGGCUAACUACGUGCCAGCAGCCGCGGUAAUACGUAGGGGGCGAGCGUUGUCCGGAGUUACUGGGCGUAAAGGGUGCGUAGGCGGCCUAUUAAGUCAGGUGUGAAAAACCCUGGCUCAACCGGGGUAUUGCACUUGAAACUGGUGGGCUUGAGUGCAGGAGAGGGAAGCGGAAUUCCUGGUGUAGCGGUGAAAUGCGUAGAUAUCAGGAGGAACACCAGUGGCGAAGGCGGCUUCCUGGCCUGUAACUGACGCUGAGGCACGAGAGCGUGGGGAGCAAACAGGAUUAGAUACUCUGGUAGUCCACGCUGUAAACGAUGGAUACUACGUGUAGGGGGCGAUUUAGCCUUCUGUGCCGAAGUUAACGCAAUAAGUAUCCCGCCUGGGGAGUACGGCCGCAAGGUUGAAACUCAAUGAAUUGACGG